rnacentral:rRNA from 1 species
GUGGGUAGUUUGACUGGGGCGGUCUCCUCCCAAAGAGUAACGGAGGAGCACGAAGGUUAGCUAAUCCUGGUCGGACAUCAGGAGGUUAGUGCAAUGGCAUAAGCUAGCUUGACUGCGAGCGUGACGGCGCGAGCAGGUGCGAAAGCAGGUCAUAGUGAUCCGGUGGUUCUGAAUGGAAGGGCCAUCGCUCAACGGAUAAAAGGUACUCCGGGGAUAACAGGCUGAUACCGCCCAAGAGUUCAUAUCGACGGCGGUGUUUGGCACCUCGAUGUCGGCUCAUCACAUCCUGGGGCUGAAGUAGGUCCCAAGGGUAUGGCUGUUCGCCAUUUAAAGUGGUACGCGAGCUGGGUUUAGAACGUCGUGAGACAGUUCGGUCCCUAUCUGCCGUGGGCGCUGGAGAAUUGAGGGGGGCUGCUCCUAGUACGAGAGGACCGGAGUGGACGCAUCACUGGUGUUCGGGUUGUCAUGCCAAUGGCAUUGCCCGGUAGCUAAAUGCGGAAGAGAUAAGUGCUGAAAGCA